rnacentral:rRNA from 1 species
UACAGAGGUCCCAAGCGUUGUUCGGAUUCACUGGGCGUAAAGGGUGCGUAGGCGGUCGGGUAAGUCUGACGUGAAAUCUCCAAGCUCAACUUGGAAAUGGCGUCGGAUACUAUUCGGCUUGAGGAGUGGAGGGGAGACUGGAAUUCUCGGUGGUAGCAGUGAAAUUCGUAGAUAUUACGGAAGAACACCAGUGGCGAAGGCGGCUCACUGGUCCGGUACUGGACGCUGAGGUGCGAAAGCGUGGG